AUGGACGCGGCGGUGCAGGAGGCGAAGCUGCUGCGGCAGGUGAACGCCCUCAUCGUGGCGCACCUCCGCGACCAGAACCUCACGCAGGCCGCCGCCGCCGUCGCCGCCGCCACCAUGACCCCCAAGGCCGACGCCUCCGUCCCCAACCACCUACUCCGCCUCGUCGCCAAGGGCCUCGCGGCCGAGCGGGAGGAGGCGGCCAGGGGAGGCGGAGCUCCCGCCGCGUUUGACUCCGGUGCUGGCGGCGGUGGGCUGGCGCGCCCGCUCGGCACCAAUGCCGUGGAUUUCAGUGUGCAGAAUGUUAGGGGCCCGUCCAAGACUUUCCCCAAGCAUGAAACCAGGCACAUCUCCGAUCAUAAGAAUGUUGCCAGAUGUGCAAAAUUUAGUCCUGAUGGGAAAUAUUUUGCAACUGGAAGUGGGGACACAUCCAUUAAGUUCUUUGAGGUAUCGAAAAUUAAGCAGACGAUGCUAGGAGACUCCAAAGAAGGCUCUGGCCGGCCUGUGGUCCGUACAUUUUAUGACCACGUGCAGCCCAUCAAUGAUCUGGAUUUCCAUCCUAUUAGCCCAAUACUGAUAUCUGGAGCAAAAGAUAAUACGAUAAAGUUCUUUGACUUCUCCAAAACUGCUGCAAGAAAAGCAUUCAGAGUUAUUCAGGAUACUCAUAAUGUUAGGUCUGUAUGUUUUCAUCCUUGCGGGGAUUACAUUUUAGCAGGGACUGAUCACCCAGUAGCUCAUCUCUAUGAUGUAAACACUUUCACAUGCUUCUUAUCCGCAAAUCCGCAGGACUCUAGUGCUGCCAUCAACCAGGUGCGUUACUCGGGUACUGGGAGCAUGUAUGUGACUGCUUCUAAGGAUGGUUCUCUGCGCAUCUGGGAUGGAGUAUCUGCUGAAUGUAUCCGUCCCAUAAUUGGAGCACAUGGAUCUGUAGAAGCUACGAGUGCAAUUUUCACCAAAGACGAGAGGUACAUCCUAUCCAGUGGAAAGGAUUCGUGUAUAAAGUUAUGGGAAGUUGGCACCGGAAGACUUGUGAAGCAAUAUCCAGGUGGUGUUAAUACACAAUUCCGGUGUCAGGCUGCCUUCAACGAAACGGAGGAGUUUGUACUAUCAACCGACGAGCAAAACAAUGAGGUUGUCAUCUGGGACGCACUUACUUCCGAGAGGGUGGCAAGAUUGCCCUCUGGCCAUACCGGCGCCCCUAGGUGGCUGGAGCACUCCCCUGUAGAGCCAGUGUUUGUUACAUGCGGAAACGAUCGAUCCGUCAGAUUCUGGAAAUAA
rnacentral:rRNA from 1 species